rnacentral:misc_RNA from 1 species
UCGGUCAAUCGGUCGGAACCCUGCAAUUAUUGAUUGGUCCAUAAAUACUGAUCCUGUUCCAAUCGCGAACCAGUUCGAAGUAAAAGUAUUUCCAAAAACUCGUCAACCUGCGGCAGCUCUUAGCGGCGACAAAUAUAUGUUCAUUGAAAGUUGACCCGUUGUAUCAAUUUGUUACGAAUUUCAUCGGGGAUUGUCGCUGAUUUGAGGCGACGGGACAUAUCCGACGAUCACUGGAAUUUUUCAAACGGGUACGUACGUAAUUCGACCAGAUAUGGACGAGGGUGGCAGGGGUGAAGUCUUAUGCAGAGUAUGCGGUGACAAGGCCUCGGGAAAACAUUACGGGGUGCCGAGCUGCGACGGAUGUCGCGGUUUCUUCAAACGGUCCAUCCGCAGGUAUGCGAGGAAUCUGGACUACGUGUGCAAGGAGAACGGCCGAUGCGUUGUUGACGUAUCCCGAAGGAACCAGUGUCAAGCUUGUCGCUUCACCAAAUGUUUGCGUGUGAACAUGAAGCGAGAUGCGGUGCAGCACGAGAGAGCACCGAGAAAUGUAGCAUCUUUUGCGACCACCGUCCGCAGAGUUCCAUCGGGACUUCAUCCCGGCAUCCCCCACAUCUACCAUACGGCCACUGGAGCUCCGUAUCAUCCGCUCAUCUACCCAGCCUUUUUCCCCUUCAAGCCAACGAUACCGACCUUUGCACCAGGCGUGGGUAUAGAUUUCAAGUGUCAGUCAUCGCCUCCAAUUCAGGGGCUUUUCCUGGCGCGGGCGGGGAACGAACCUCUGCCGCCACCUCUUUCGGCCAAGGAAGACGAGGUGACGAGUUCCGAGGAAGCUGCGACCGUUGACAGCCAAAACUCGGGAAAGGAGGACGCCCAUGGCGAUCCUUUGGCAUCCUCGCCAUCGAGCCUGGCGACGGCAAUGUCGGACUACGCCUCCUCGGGAUUGACGCUGUUGACAACGGAAAACGUUUACGAAUCUGCAGCGAAGCUACUUUUUCUUGCUGUUAAAUGGGCAAGAAGUAUACCCUCCUUCCUCCAGCUGUCAUAUCGAGACCAGGCGAUACUCCUCGAAGAGUCCUGGAGCGAACUGUUCGUCCUUACGGCGGCGCAAUGGAACUUUCCGGCGGAGGCGGCUGCUCUGGUCUCGGCUGACGCAUCCAUUGACAGGCGAUCUGGCCUGGAAGAGGAGGCAAGAAGGCUCAGGGAACUUCUGGCAAGAUGCGCAACGCUGAGGAUCGACCACUCCGAGUACGCUUGCCUGAAGGCGAUAGUUCUUUUCAAAGGAGACACUGCGUAUUCCGUCCUCUGGCGCUCAUCAUUUCUACGUUAUUACGGCUGAUUUUUUAGUCGAAUCUUUCGAUUCGACGUUCAACUUGCCUACCGCUAGAUGGUGUGCGUGUUUUGAUGUUUCGUGAAUUUAUCUACCGCUGGAUGGCGCAGCUUGACCUAUGCGCCUGAUGCUAGUCCAAACACGUUCUGCCAAGCUCAGGUAUAACUGAAGUUUCACUGUAUACGCUGCUCCAAGUUAAGAUCAAACGGAAAGUGGGAAAGAAGGGAAGAAAACUCUUGAAUGCCGAUCCCUCUAUCGUAGAAUCGCGAGGUCUAGCCGAGGCCGUGAGGGUAACAGCUCUUCAGGAACAAACCGUAGCCGUACUCGGCGAGCAGGGCGCGGGUCGCGUCGGACGGCUGCUUCUUCUCCUU